rnacentral:rRNA from 1 species
UACAGAGGUCCCAAGCGUUGUUCGGAAUUACUGGGCGUAAAGGGCGCGUAGGCGGCCGAUCAAGUUAGGCGUGAAAUCCCUGGGCUUAACCCAGGAACUGCGUUUAAUACUGAUUGGCUAGAGAUUGGUAGAGGAAAGUGGAAUUCCUAGUGUAGAGGUGAAAUUCGUAGAUAUUAGGAAGAACACCAGAGGCGAAGGCGACUUUCUGGGCCAAUACUGACGCUGAGGCGCGAAAGCGUGGGAGCAAACAGG